rnacentral:rRNA from 1 species
GGGGUGCAGCAGGCGCGAAAACUUUACAAUGCUGGCAACAGCGAUAAGGGGACCUCGAGUGCCAGGAUACAAUCCUGGCUGUCGUAAUGCCUAAAAAGCAUUGCAUAGCAAGGGCCGGGCAAGACCGGUGCCAGCCGCCGCGGUAACACCGGCGGCUCGAGUGGUAACCGCUAUUAUUGGGUCUAAAGGGUCUGUAGCCGGCUGACUAAGUCUCUUGGGAAAUCUGGCAGCUCAACUGUCAGGCUUUCAGGAGAUACUGAUCGGCUCGAGACCGGGAGAGGUGAGAGGUACCUCAGGGGUAGGGGUGAAAUCUUGUAAUCCUUGAGGGACCGCCAGUGGCGAAGGCGUCUCACCAGAACGGAUCUGACGGCAAGGGACGAAAGCUAGGGGCACGAACCGGAUUAGAUACCCGGGUAGUCCUAGCCGUAAACGAUACUCGCUAGGUGUCGGCCACGGUGCGACCGUGGUCGGUGCCGUAGGGAAGCCGUGAAGCGAGCCACCUGGGAAGUACGGCCGCAAGGCUGAAACUUAAAGGAAUUGGCGGGGGAGCACAAGGGCGAUUCGCG